AUGGUGCCUGGAGGGAAGUGGGGAUCCGCUGACCCCGAGAGGAGAGCGUGUCCAGGGGCGCGUGGACCUCAGCCACCUGCUGAGUUUCAGGGAGUUACUUUCACCCGUUCCCACCUCUCUGAGGGGUGGGCGGGUGCAGGACGGCUCUGCGUGGUUUUCAGGUGUUUUCAUCUGGAUGCACAUCGGUGGGCGUUCCGCAGGCAGGCUCCCCGGAAGACAACGCCCCAGGGGCUCGUGAGAACACCCGUGGGCUCGGGGCCCCACGGCGGCUGAUUUUCCCACCGGCCACUCCUUUCUGACCGCCCCGUGUGGCAUCCGUGUGGCUGUGACUCUCUCUGGGGCGGCCCAGCGGGGCCAUGUGGCAUCCACGUGGCUGUGACUUUCUCCGGGACGGUCCAAUGUGGGAGGCUUUCAGUUAAAUAGGACGUUAGUUUGGAAGCUGUCCUUUCUGUCAAAACAAGGAUGAUACAACCGCGCAGUAAUGACUCCGUAGAGUUUCCUAGUUUUCAUAAAACAGACCAGUGCUGCCGACGGCCAGGCCCUCCCCACGGCUCGAGGGAAGCGCGCUGUGGUCUCCUGUUUCCUCCUGAACACCUUCUGUGGUUUCGGUUUCACACCUCGGGAUGGGACGGAGGGGCAGCGUUCUGGGGCCGAGAGCAUCCUUUCUCCGCUCACCAGGGCACUGGCUGGAGUGGAC
rnacentral:lncRNA from 1 species